UGUUAUGGCUGUUUUUACUUUGGUGUAGAAGGCAACCCAGCUAAGAAAUAGAGUUUCAGAGACAUGAAGAGUGUGAAGUGAAUAACCUGCCAUGUGUAUGUACAUGUACCAGAUCUGCUUGAUGAAAGUGAAAUGCCUUACUAAAUUCAUCACCCAUAUGAUAAGCAUCAGGAAAUUUAUCUCAACAUAUGGAUGGAGUAAUGCUGUUGGUUGCUAUGGAUUC